UCAAUGAGUUUGAUGUGCUUAAUAGUGA
rnacentral:sRNA from 1 species